GGAUCUCUGGGAGUUCAGUGAUAGCUCAGUCUACAUACGGAGUUCCAGAACAGCCAUGACUACGUGGUCAGACCAUGUCUAAAAAAUAAACAACUAAAUUAGUUCCUUAAAAAAAAAAAAUACAAUGGUAAGGUAUUUCAAUUCUAACUUCCUUUCUAGAAUCGUUUUUAUUUUUUUAAUCUUUCUCUUUAUUACCAUAUGCUGCGUAUGACAAUACCUCUGAGUUCUACAGAGAUAGGGAAGAAGCUUGGAUAGACUUCUUCUUGAAGCCCAUAAAUUCAUCUAGAAGAUGAAAAUUACAAUAGAAAGAACCACACAGAUUUGUGACUCCGGCCAUUUGCCCACCCUGGUAUCACACUGAAGUAGCUGUCCUGAAGUUUGUGAGGGUAAUGGUAACCCUUUAGCAGUUGAUGCUGAGGUAAAUGUUUGCUGAUGCCCCUCCUCCAUCCUGCAUGCUGGGAAUCAGGACCCUCUGUCACUAAGAUGGCUCUUCAGUCCCUGAGAGAAGGCUAUUUAUUCUCAGGUCCUUUUUUUCUUUUUUCUUUUUUUUUAAUAUUUUUUUUAUUAUAUGUACUUUGGUGUUCUGUCUGCAUAUAUGUCUGUGAGGGUGUCAGAUCCCUGGAACUGGAAUUACAUAUAGUUGUAAGCUGCCAUGUGGGUGCUGGGAGUUGAACCCAGGUCCAUCUGGAAGAACAGCAAGUGCUCUUAACCACUGAGCCAUUUCUCCAGCCCCAGGUUCCUUUUUUUUUCUUGGCACUUUGUCUCACCAGAGAGCAAUGAAUUUAUAACGUCUAUUUCUUGGAGGUGUAAGUAGCUUCCUGAGAGUGACAGAAAAGUAGAUUGUAGACUUACAAGUACUUCAUUGAUGCUGUCUUGCCACGUUCCUAGAGUUGGCCAGAUAGCUUAUGACUGUCUUUUUCAUGGUAGAAGACUAGUUCGAGAAAAGGAAGAGUGCUGAAACUACAAGAUGCCUGAGACGGUCAAGCCAGGCUCUCAUGGUCCCUGGUGCCUGAAGGUCCCGGAGAGGUGCUGAGAGCAGCUGAAGAGCCAGAUCAGCAUCUGGGAGGGGCAGCUUCUCCACACCUCUGCAGUGCAGAAAGCAACUGGCCUUCCAAAGAUAUCAACGAAACAUAUAAGAUGAGGUACCCCUCACUACCACCAUGGCUGAUGAGGCAACCCAAUAUGAGAAAAGAGGUUCAAAGAGUUGGCAAAAGAGUUGGAAGGUUGAAACCAUUAACACGUAUAGUUUUUAUUGAAAAUAAGCAGGCAUCUCUACGGCCAGCCUCAAGGGACCUGACAAACUGGUCAUCAGGCAUUUGUGAAGCCACCAAGAAGACCACCCGUUGAUCACCUGGAACCACCUGCGCAUGCCCUGGGUCACCUUAUAAGAGAACUCCCAAAGCCCCUCCUCUCUCUCUUUUCUCUUCUGCCUCAGCUCUCUGCGACCUCCUUUCCCUUCCCCUAAUAAACCUCCCAU